GAGUUUGAUCCUGGCUCAGGAUGAACGCUGGCGGCGUGCUUAACACAUGCAAGUCGAACGAAGCACAGAAAGCAGAUUACUUCGGUUUGAAGCUUUCUGUGACUGAGUGGCGGACGGGUGAGUAACGCGUGGAUAACCUGCCUCACACAGGGGGAUAACAGUUAGAAAUGACUGCUAAUACCGCAUAAGCGCACAGUCUCGCAUGGGACAGUGUGAAAAGCUGAGGUGGUGUGAGAUGGAUCCGCGUCUGAUUAGGCAGUUGGCGGGGUAACGGCCCACCAAACCAACGAUCAGUAGCCGGCCUGAGAGGGUGAACGGCCACAUUGGGACUGAGACACGGCCCAAACUCCUACGGGAGGCAGCAGUGGGGAAUAUUGCACAAUGGGGGAAACCCUGAUGCAGCGACGCCGCGUGAAGGAAGAAGUAUUUCGGUAUGUAAACUUCUAUCAGCAGGGAAGAAAGUGACGGUACCUGACUAAGAAGCCCCGGCUAACUACGUGCCAGCAGCCGCGGUAAUACGUAGGGGGCAAGCGUUACCCGGAUUUACUGGGUGUAAAGGGAGCGUAGGCGGCGAUGCAAGUCAGAAGUGAAAGCCCGGGGCUCAACUCCGGGACUGCUUUUGAAACUGUAUGGCUAGAUUGCAGGAGAGGCAAGUGGAAUUCCU
rnacentral:rRNA from 1 species